CGGGGGUCCUCUUUCUCCUGAUGG
rnacentral:siRNA from 1 species